rnacentral:rRNA from 1 species
GACGAACGCUGGCGGCGUGCUUAACACAUGCAAGUCGAACGAAGUGGCGAACGGGUGAGUAACGCGUAAUCAACCUGCCCUUCAGAGGGGGACAACAGUUGGAAACGACUGCUAAUACCGCAUACUGAAGGAGGGGAUUGCGUCUGAUUAGCUAGUUGGAGGGGUAACGCCCCACCCAGGCGAUGAUAAGUAGCCGGUCUGAGAGGAUGAACGGCCACAUUGGGACUGAGACACGGCCCAGACGCCUACAGGAGGCAGCAGUGGGGAAUCGUCCGCAAUGGACGAAAGUCUGACGGAGCAACGCCGCGUGAGUGAUGACGGCCGUCGGGUUGUAAAGCUCUGUUAAUCGGGACGCGGUACCGGAAUAGAAAGCCACGGCUAACUACGUGCCAGCCGCCGCGGUAAUAC